rnacentral:rRNA from 1 species
UCGAGCGGUAACAGAAAGUAGCUUGCUACUUUGCUGACGAGCGGCGGACGGGUGAGUAAUGCUUGGGAACAUGCCUUGAGGUGGGGGACAACAGUUGGAAACGACUGCUAAUACCGCAUAAUGUCUACGGACCAAAGGGGGCUUCGGCUCUCGCCUUUAGAUUGGCCCAAGUGGGAUUAGCUAGUUGGUGAGGUAAUGGCUCACCAAGGCAACGAUCCCUAGCUGGUUUGAGAGGAUGAUCAGCCACACUGGAACUGAGACACGGUCCAGACUCCUACGGGAGGCAGCAGUGGGGAAUAUUGCACAAUGGGCGAAAGCCUGAUGCAGCCAUGCCGCGUGUGUGAAGAAGGCCUUCGGGUUGUAAAGCACUUUCAGUCAGGAGGAAAGGGUGUGAGUUAAUACCUCACAUCUGUGACGUUACUGACAGAAGAAGCACCGGCUAACUCCGUGCCAGCAGCCGCGGUAAUACGGAGGGUGCGAGCGUUAAUCGGAAUUACUGGGCGUAAAGCGUACGCAGGCGGUUUGUUAAGCGAGAUGUGAAAGCCCCGGGCUCAACCUGGGAACUGCAUUUCGAACUGGCAAACUAGAGUGUGAUAGAGGGUGGUAGAAUUUCAGGUGUAGCGGUGAAAUGCGUAGAGAUCUGAAGGAAUACCGAUGGCGAAGGCAGCCACCUGGGUCAACACUGACGCUCAUGUACGAAAGCGUGGGGAGCAAACGGGAUUAGAUACCCCGGUAGUCCACGCCGUAAACGAUGUCUACUAGAAGCUCGGAACCUCGGUUCUGUUUUUCAAAGCUAACGCAUUAAGUAGACCGCCUGGGGAGUACGGCCGCAAGGUUAAAACUCAAAUGAAUUGACGGGGGCCCGCACAAGCGGUGGAGCAUGUGGUUUAAUUCGAUGCAACGCGAAGAACCUUACCUACACUUGACAUACAGAGAACUUUCUAGAGAUAGAUUGGUGCCUUCGGGAACUCUGAUACAGGUGCUGCAUGGCUGU